UGGGGAAUAUUGCACAAUGGGCGCAAGCCUGAUGCAGCCAUGCCGCGUGUAUGAAGAAGGCCUUCGGGUUGUAAAGUACUUUCAGCGGGGAGGAAGGGAGUAAAGUUAAUACCUUUGCUCAUUGACGUUACCCGCAGAAGAAGCACCGGCUAACUCCGUGCCAGCAGCCGCGGUAAUACGGAGGGUGCAAGCGUUAAUCGGAAUUACUGGGCGUAAAGCGCACGCAGGCGGUUUGUUAAGUCAGAUGUGAAAUCCUCGGGCUCAACCUGGGAACUGCAUCUGAUACUGGCAAGCUUGAGUCUCGUAGAGGGGGGUAGAAUUCCAGGUGUAGCGGUGAAAUGCGUAGAGAUCUGGAGGAAUACCGGUGGCGAAGGCGGCACCCUGGACGAAGACUGACGCUCAGGUGCGAAAGCGUGGGGAGCAAACAGG
rnacentral:rRNA from 1 species